AACGAACGCUGGCGGCAUGCCUAACACAUGCAAGUCGAACGAGACCUUCGGGUCUAGUGGCGCACGGGUGCGUAACGCGUGGGAACCUGCCCUUAGGUACGGAAUACCUCUCCGAAAGGGGUGCUAAUACCGGAUAAUGUCUGCUGACCAAAGAUUUAUCGCCUUGGGAUGGGCCCGCGUUGGCUUAGCUUGUUGGUAGGGUAAAAGCCUACCACGGGGACGAUCCAUAGCUGGUCAGAGAGAAUGGGCAGCCACACUGGGGGUUGGAAGCGGCCCGGAAUCCUACGGGAGGCGGGAGUGGGGGAUAUAGCACAAUGGGGGGAAGCAUGAUGGAGCUAGGAUGGGAGAGUGCUGAUGGCCUUAGAGUAGUAAAGCUCUUUUAACCGGGAUGAUCAUGACGGUACCGAAAGAAUAAGCACCGGCUAACUCCGUG
rnacentral:rRNA from 1 species